CACAUCAUGUCAUCUCUUUCAGCGAGAACAGGCAGACACAAACAACGUUACCAGGAUCAACUUAGGCUUGUAGCUGGGUGUAUUCCUUAUAAACUUAACAUGAACGUUGAGGAAAAAAACUGUAGAGUGGAGGAUAGUGUACUUGUCCUCAUGAUCUCGACUCCAAAUCGUGACAAUCUUGUGUUUCCAAAGGGUGGAUGGGAAG
rnacentral:misc_RNA from 1 species